CGUAGGGACCAAGCGUUGUUCGGAUUUACUGGGGCGUAAAGGGCGCGUAGGCGGCGCGACAAGUCACUUGUGAAAUCUCCGGGCUUAACUCGGAACGGUCAAGUGAUACUGUUGUGCUAGAGUACAGAAAGGGUAAUCGGAAUUCUCGGUGUAGCGGUGAAAUGCGUAGAUAUCGAGAGGAACACCAGAGGCGAAGGCGGAUUACUGGGCUGAUACUGACGCUGAGGCGCGAAAAGCUAGGGUAGCAAACGGGAUU
rnacentral:rRNA from 1 species